GAUGAACGCUGGCGGCGUGCCUAAUACAUGCAAGUCGAGCGAACAGAUAAGGAGCUUGCUCCUUUGACGUUAGCGGCGGACGGGUGAGUAACACGUGGGUAACCUACCUAUAAGACUGGGAUAACUUCGGGAAACCGGAGCUAAUACCGGAUAACAUUUGGAACCGCAUGGUUCUAAAGUGAAAGAUGGUUUUGCUAUCACUUAUAGAUGGACCCGGGCCGUAUUAGCUAGUUGGUAAGGUAACGGCUUACCAAGGCGACGAUACGUAGCCGACCUGAGAGGGUGAUCGGCCACACUGGAACUGAGACACGGUCCAGACUCCUACGGGAGGCAGCAGUAGGGAAUCUUCCGCAAUGGGCGAAAGCCUGACGGAGCAACGCCGCGUGAGUGAUGAAGGGUUUCGGCUCGUAAAACUCUGUUAUUAGGGAAGAACAAAUGUGUAAGUAACUGUGCACGUCUUGACGGUACCUAAUCAGAAAGCCACGGCUAACUACGUGCCAGCCGCCGCGGUAA
rnacentral:rRNA from 1 species